GGGUAGGCGUCGACCAGCGCCCCCAGCCUGGAUUUCCCAGUACCAGACCAUGCUUGAGCUCCAGCCACUCACAGCGACAGCUUGUGAAGCAGAUGAGCAGGAGGUGGAAGGUGAGGAAAGUUUCAAGGGCUGCACUGGGACAGGUCAAGCUGAGGCCUCCUCUGCUCAGGGCUUUCCUUUCGGGGCUUAUAUCCCCGCCUGGAAAGGAAAGGGAGUCCCACGGGGAGGGGGAGCCAGCAGGGGGUGCGCCCCUCUUCCUCC
rnacentral:lncRNA from 1 species